AUUGAACGCUGGCGGCAGGCCUAACACAUGCAAGUCGAGCGGAUGAGGAGAGCUUGCUCUCUGAUUUAGCGGCGGACGGGUGAGUAAUGCCUAGGAAUCUGCCUGGUAGUGGGGGAUAACGUUCCGAAAGGAACGCUAAUACCGCAUACGUCCUACGAGAGAAAGCAGGGGACCUUCGGGCCUUGCGCUAUCAGAUGAGCCUAGGUCGGAUUAGCUAGUUGGUGAGGUAAUGGCUCACCAAGGCGACGAUCCGUAACUGGUCUGAGAGGAUGAUCAGUCACACUGGAACUGAGACACGGUCCAGACUCCUACGGGAGGCAGCAGUGGGGAAUAUUGGACAAUGGGCGAAAGCCUGAUCCAGCCAUGCCGCGUGUGUGAAGAAGGUCUUCGGAUUGUAAAGCACUUUAAGUUGGGAGGAAGGGUUGUAGAUUAAUACUCUGCAAUUUUGACGUUACCAACAGAAUAAGCACCGGCUAACUUCGUGCCAGCCGCCGCCGUAAUAC
rnacentral:rRNA from 1 species